rnacentral:rRNA from 1 species
UACGAAGGGGGCUAGCGUUGCUCGGAAUCACUGGGCGUAAAGCGCACGUAGGCGGAUCGUUAAGUCAGGGGUGAAAUCCUGGAGCUCAACUCCAGAACUGCCUUUGAUACUGGCGAUCUUGAGUUCGGGAGAGGUGAGUGGAACUGCGAGUGUAGAGGUGAAAUUCGUAGAUAUUCGCAAGAACACCGGUGGCGAAGGCGGGUCUCUGGGCCGAUACUGACGCUGAGGAGCGAAAGCGUGGGGAGCGAACAGG